UAAAACGAAAGUUUGAUUUUGGUGAUUCAGUGUUCUUUAAUUCAAGGUUACAUAUUUUUAACGAGGUUUAAUUUUGGUGCAUCAGUUGCAGGCUCUGCUGAGUUGCAGGGCUCUGCUGCAAUUGUUAAUUCCUUGGUCAUCUGCUGCAAUAGUUCAGCAUGAAGCUCAUUUUAAUUUAUCAUUUUAUAUGAGAUGUCAAAAAGAUUGUUUAACAUGCUUUCUUCAAUUUCAAUUUUCUAUAUUGUAUAUGAGGACUCAGUAAAGUCAAACCGUGGAAGCAAACCUUUAGGAAAUUACUAUAGAAAGAAAAAAGAUGAGUUAAAGAUCGGGGACCAGCCGUAAAUUACUAUAGUGAGAAAAAUUGAAGGCGCAAUUGCGAGAAGAGGGUAGUAGUGGCGGACAAAGACUAUGAUGCUUCAGUAUUUUAAUGGCACCGUUGCCAUCAGUGAUCCUGAAUCACCAGUAUCGACUUCAUUUUCAUGUUUUAAUUUAGCUCCCAGGUGCCAUCCUUGCGCAAGAAAGUUCACAUGGCCAAAAGUUACGGACAAGUCAACUGUCCCCACAAUAUUUUUGACUGGUUAACGGGUCAUUUGACCUUAAAUUGAAAUAUUUCACUGUUGGUUACCUUACAUAUAAGUUCUUCAAAUUGGACCAGAACUUUCGGUUUGUUAAUAGUCAAGAAAGAGUGUUUGCUAUUCAAGUGUUCGAGCUCCACAGAUUGAUAAAGUCACAAAACCGACUUUUGGGUUUCAUGCGCCUUCAAGAUUAGAAGGUAUCCCCCAAUCUCGACCGGAUUUACCCGAAACCUCACAUUUGAUGAAGAUACUGAGAAAUGUGGGGGCAGAGCGGCCUAAUUGGCCCCACGAGGACGAGCCAUUCAUGGGCGUGCACCAAAUGAGGCCAACAUCGCCAUCUCAUAUGGCGUAACCUGCGAAUGAAUUGCAGCUGUACCUAUCAAAAUUUUAUCUUAUAUGGUUCCUUCAUUUGGCAAAGAGGAGCCGGUUGACCAUCUCUUCGUGUCUUGCCACUUCGCCUCAAGGUGUUUGGGACCGGGUUGCAAGCUGAUGUCGUCUAACUGGGUUGUAUAUGUUUGAAAGCAAAGAUUUGGUCGGAUAUCAUUGCCGUGCGGGUGGGUCGACGGAAUGAAAAAAAUGGUGUACAGUAUAAUGCAGACUAGAAUGUGGAGUAUAUGACGUUGAAACAACUUAGCAUUCAACCAGAAGAAUCUGAAUAUGGGGAGUGCUGUAGAGGAGCUAAAAAGGUUGGGGUACCUUUGGAUAAAAAAAAGAUCAAAGGCACAGGCUUUGUCUUGGAAAAAAAGGAGCAUGUUUCAUUGAAAUUGUUGUGACUUUGGUUAUUUGUUCACACUGUUUGUAUCUGGAGUGAGGGAUAAUAUGUUGUCCCAAAUUUUAUUCCAUUAAAUUUGAAGUCAUUUGCGUA